CGUGGAUCUUAGCUUGCUGGGCUCUGUGGGGGUGUGAUCCACUGAGCUAGACCACUUGGCUCCCUGGCUUCAGCCGGUUUCCAGGGGAGUGAAUGGUUCUGUCUCACUGGCAUUCCAGGUGCCAUUUGGGUAUGAAGUAAAACUCCUGCAGCUAGCUUGGUGUCUGCCCAAAUGGCUGCCUGUUUUAUGCUUGAAACCUAGGUCCUGGUGGCAUAGACACUUGAAGGUAUCUCCUAGUUUGCGGGUUGCAGUGACUGUGGAAAAAAUAUGGUAUCUGGGUUGGAGUGCAUUGUGCCUCAUGGUGCAGUCCCUCCCAGCUUUUCUUGGCUAGGGGAGGGAGUUUCCUGGUGUCUUGUGCUUCCCUGGUGAGGCAACACCCCACCCUGCUUUGGCUCAUCCCCCUCCAUGGGCUGCACCCACUGUCUAACCAGUCCCAGUGAGAUGAGCCAGGUAUCUCAGCUGGAAAUGUAGAGAUCACCCACCUUCUGUGCUGAUCUCACUGGGAGAUGCAGAUUGGGAGGUGUUCCUAUUCAGCCAUCUUGCCAGCCUCCCAUACAUUGUUGCUUUAAUGUCCAUUGUGUCCAGUUGUGACUUCAUAACUCAUGUGCUUUCUUUACAAAGGGGUUCAAAUUGAUAGUAGAGUCAAAACAAUACCAAGUCAUUUUCUUUGAAGAAAAAUUUCAGUUUUUAUAUUAUUCUCAUAUUUAUUAUUCAAAUAAAUUACAGUCAGUAUUGACUGAAAUAUGUUACUAUCUGUUAUCAGAGAUGUUGGGGAAAAAGUACAUUUUAUCUUCUUGGGUAAGCAUUUCCCUAGACAUAAUGGGGGCUUUUUGGGAAAGGCUCACCUGAAAGUGGUUUCCCUAUAUUCAUGCCACUUCAUGAAAUCUAGCAGGAGGGAUUUCUUAUUCCAAUCUAAGUGACAUCCUGGGAGGAACAACCGCUAAAAUCACUUAUCAAUCCCUUAAACCUUAGUGCUGACUUAUUGGCAGCUUUGCCAUUUUCAUCUAAGGGCUAUUGUUAAGAACAUCUAUUGUCAAAUUGAAGAAUGCUGGUAUCACAUCUUUAAAGGAAAUGAAAAAAAUAGUAAACAACUUAUAAUUGAAUCAAUCUACUCUGGCAAAUUCACCUUUGUGUUUUCCUUCCUGUCUUUGUUCAUUUUCAUACACAUUUUUAAUAUUGAUAUAAUCAUAGAGUUGACUAACUGUGUAUCUGUACAGGUGGUGCCUUUAUGGUGGGGAGCUGUUAGCCAAAGGGAGAAGACAAAGUCAUACAGGGCUGUCCUUCCCAACUCAAUACUAGUGGCCGAACAAGAACAAUGAAGAAGAGAGUUAAUCUAUAAUUGAAGAAAACAGAAGCUGCAGGCUGGGCAUGGUGGCUCACCCUGUAAUCCCAGCACUUUGGGAGGCUGUGGUGGGAGAAUUGCUUGAGCCCAGGAGUUCAACACCAAUCUGGGUAACAUAGUGAGAACUCCACUUCUACAAAAAGAAAAUGAAAGAAGGAAAGAAAGAAACAGAAGUUGCAAACAUGUUACGUGACUCAGCCUCCAGGGCUUAAGGUCCCCCUUGGUGUAAUAAAUUCAAAGGGUC
rnacentral:lncRNA from 1 species